GAUGAACGCUGGCGGCGUGCCUAAUACAUGCCAGUCGAGCGAACAGACGAGGAGCUUGCUCCUCUGACGUUAGCGGCGGACGGGUGAGUAACACGUGGAUAACCUACCUAUAAGACUGGGAUAACUUCGGGAAACCGGAGCUAAUACCGGAUAAUAUAUUGAACCGCAUGGUUCAAUAGUGAAAGACGGUUUUGCUGUCACUUAUAGAUGGAUCCGCGCCGCAUUAGCUAGUUGGUAAGGUAACGGCUUACCAAGGCAACGAUGCGUAGCCGACCUGAGAGGGGAGGAGGCCGCAGAGGAAGAGGGACGGGGUCAAGAAUCCGAGGGGAGGAGGCAGUGGGAAUUCUUCGGAAAGGGGCGAGAACCUGAGGGAGCAAAGCGGGGGGAUGAAGAAGGUUCUUGGGAUCUUAACACUUUUUUAUGGGGGAAAAAAAAAUGUGAAGAUACAUGGACCAGUCUGGAGGGAACCUAAAAAGAAGACCACGGCUAACUACGUG
rnacentral:rRNA from 1 species